rnacentral:rRNA from 1 species
GAUGAACGCUGGCGGCGUGCCUAAUACAUGCAAGUCGAGCGAACAGACGAGGAGCUUGCUCCUCUGACGUUAGCGGCGGACGGGUGAGUAACACGUGGAUAACCUACCUAUAAGACUGGGAUAACUUCGGGAAACCGGAGCUAAUACCGGAUAAUAUAUUGAACCGCAUGGUUCAAUAGUGAAAGACGGUUUUGCUGUCACUUAUAGAUGGAUCCGCGCCGCAUUAGCUAGUUGGUAAGGUAACGGCUUACCAAGGCAACGAUGCGUAGCCGACCUGAGAGGGUGAUCGGCCACACUGGAACUGAGACACGGUCCAGACUCCUACGGGAGGCAGCAGUAGGGAAUCUUCCGCAAUGGGCGAUAGCCUGACGGAGCAACGCCGCGUGAGUGAUGAAGGUCUUCGGAUCGUAAAACUCUGUUAUUAGGGAGGAACAAAUGUGUAAGUAACUAUGCACGUCUUGACGGUACCUAAUCAGAAAGCCACGGCUAACUACGUG